rnacentral:RNase_P_RNA from 1 species
GCGUUUGGGUAACCGCUGCAUCACUUGAGGAUGUAGAGGAAAGUCCAUGCUCGCACAGACUGCGAUGUCUGUAGUGUUCGUGCCUAGCGAAGUCAUAAGCUAGGGUAGUCUAGGUAACUAGGCUAACGGCGGGGAACGGACCUAAGUCUUCGGAUAUGGUUCUAAUACUCUGAAAGUGCCACAGUGACGUAGUCUCAUUAGAAAUGAUGAGAGUGGAACGAGGUAAACCCCUCGAGCGAGAAACCCAAAUAAUGGUAGGGGCAUCUUCCUGAAGGAAUUGAACGGAGGGAAGGACAAGUUGACUAUCAACUUGUAGAUAGAUGGUUGCCACCGGAGUACGAGGCUGCUAGCCGAUUGAAGUACGAAGGGACAAAACAUGGCUUACAGAA